rnacentral:rRNA from 1 species
CCCUUAGAUGUUCUGGGCCGCACGCGUGCUACACUGAGUGGAUCAGCGGGUCAGGUUGCGCGAAAGUGUUUCCUAAUCUUGAAAUCCGCUCGUGAUGGGGAUUGACGGUUGCAAUUUUCCGUCAUGAACGAGGAAUACCUUGUAAGCGCGGGUCAUCAUCCCGCGCUGAAUACGUCCCUGCCCUUUGUACACACCGCCCGUCGCUCCUACCGAUUGAGUGGUCCGGUGAGGCUUUGGGAUCUGAGCGAAAAGAGCGUUUCGCUGUUUCUGCUCGGAAAACUCAGUCGAACCUUAUCAUUUAGAGGAAGGAGAAGUCGUAACA